rnacentral:rRNA from 1 species
GACGAACGCUGGCGGCGUGCCUAACACAUGCCAGUCGAACGGAACGGCCCUGCUUUUUUGGGGUGCUCUAGUGGCGACCGGGUGAGUAACCCGUGGGUAACCUGCCCCAGCCUUUGGGAUCUCUUCAGGAAACUGGGGCUCAUACCGGCUAGGAGCUACUGCUGCAUGGUGGGCGUUGGACAGUUUCGGCGGUUGGGGAUGGACUCGCGGCUUAUCCGCUUGGUGGUGGGGUAGUGGCUUACCAAGGCUUUGACGGGUAGCGGACCUGGGAGGGUGACCGGCCACACUGGAACGGGGAUGCGGCCCAGACUCCUACGGUAGGCAGCGGAGGGGAAGAGUGCACUAGGGGCGGAAGCCAGAUGCAGCAACGCCGCGUGGGGGAUGACGUGCAGCGGGUAGGAUUGCGCUUUCGCCUGUGCCGGGGCGUGAGUGACGGUAAUGGGUAAAGAAGCACCGGCUAACUACGUG